CCACUAACUCCGCCUGCAGCUCUUAUAGGGUUGCUGCCGGUCCCAAGCCCGGGUAAAGGAGGAGGGUUGG
rfam:Schistosoma mattheei strain Denwood, Zambia genome assembly, scaffold: SMTD_scaffold0015568